rnacentral:rRNA from 1 species
AAAGGAACGCUGGUGGCAGACCUAACACAUGCAAAGUCGAACGGGUCUAUAUUAAACUUCGGUUUUUUAUAGAUAGUGGCAAACGGGUGAGUAAAGCAUGGGAAUCUACCUAGAAGUUUGGAAUAGCUAUUAGAAAUGAUAGAUAAUACCAAAUACAACCUCGAGAGGGAAAAGUUGACUUCGGUCUUCGCUUUUAGAUGAGCCCAUGUUAAAUAGUUAGUUGUAGGUAAUGGCCUACCAAGAUGAUGAUUUAUAGCUGGUCUUAGAGGAUGAUCAGCCACACUGGAAUUGAGAUACGGGUCCACGACUCCUACGGGAGGCAGCAGUGGGGAAUAUUGGACAAUGGGCGCAAGCCUGAUCCAGUCAUGCCACGUGAGUGAUGAAGGUCUUAGGAUUGUAAAACUCUUUUAGCAGGGAAAAAAAUG